CCUGAAUGGAGAGUCUGACGGAGCACGCCGCGUGAGUGAUGAAGGUUUUCGGAUCGUAAAGCUCUGUUGUUAGGGAAGAACAAGUGCCGUUCAAAUAGGGCGGCACCUUGACGGUACCUAACCAGAAAGCCACGGCUAACUACGUGCCAGCAGCCGCGGUAAUACGUAGGUGGCAAGCGUUGUCCGGAAUUAUUGGGCGUAAAGGGCUCGCAGGCGGUUUCUUAAGUCUGAUGUGAAAGCCCCCGGCUCAACCGGGGAGGGUCAUUGGAAACUGGGGAACUUGAGUGCAGAAGAGGAGAGUGGAAUUCCACGUGUAGCGGUGAAAUGCGUAGAGAUGUGGAGGAACACCAGUGGCGAAGGCGACUCUCUGGUCUGUAACUGACGCUGAGGAGCGAAAGCGUGGGGAGCGAACAGGAUUAGAUACCCUGGUAGUCCACGCCGUAAACGAUGAGUGCUAAGUGUUAGGGGGUUUCCGCCCCUUAGUGCUGCAGCUAACGCAUUAAGCACUC
rnacentral:rRNA from 1 species